rnacentral:tRNA from 1 species
GUUUUGAUAGUUUAAUUAGAAUACAGUCUUGAAGAGGUUGGGGUGAGGUUAUUCUCAGAACA